GCGUCAGUAGUGUAACGGAUAGUGCACGCGCUCCCGAAAAGAGUGAGGUGCGGGUUCGAUUGCCGCCUGACGCG